rnacentral:rRNA from 1 species
GCAAGUCGAGCGCGAAAACACUUCGGUGUGAGUAGAGCGGCGGACGGGUGAGUAACGCGUAGGAAUCUACCUGGUAGUGGGGGACAACAUGGGGAAACUCAUGCUAAUACCGCAUACGCCCUAUGGGGGAAAGUGGGGGACCUUCGGGCCUCACGCUAUCAGAUGAGCCUGCGUAGGAUUAGCUUGUUGGUGGGGUAAUGGCCUACCAAGGCGACGAUGCUUAACUGGUCUGAGAGGAUGAUC